UUGACUUGAAAAGAAGAGUCAAUCUUCUUUUAUUUCAGAAAAGAUUUUUAAAUUUAUAUAUUGAAAUAUAUCUUGAUCUAAAUAAUAAAUAUAGUUGGCCCGCCAUAUCUAUGGGUUCCACAUCCAUGGAUUCAACCAACUGGGAUCAAAAAUAUUCCAAACAACAAUAAAAACAAUAAACAAUAAACAACAAUAAAACAAUAAACAACACAAUAAACAAAAUAAAUUUUUCUUUUCUUUUAAUGAGACAGGAUCUUACUAUAUUGGCCAGGUUGGGCUGAACUCUUGGCCUCAAGCAAUCCUCUCGCCUCUGCCUCCCAAAAUGCUAGGAUUACAGGUGUGAGCCACCACGCCCAGCCAGGAAACUUCUACAACAAAAGGUUUCUGUUACAGAGUUUAUUUAUUUUUUAUUUUUAAGAUAGAGUUUUACUCUGUCAGAGAAGAGGGCAUGUAACCCAGAACUGGGUAUGGGGUGGGGACAGAGGACUCAGGUAAUGCAUCGUAGAGAAAGUGAUGUUGGAAUUGAGUUUUGAAGAAUACAUUGUAGGGCACCAAGUGAAGAAAUGGUGAAAGACAUUUUAGGCAUAGGACUGAGUUGAGCAAUGGCAGAGAGGCAUAAUAAUAAAGCAUGAUCGUAGAAUUUCAGAACAUUCAGCAACAUGCAGCACAGAACAUGUGUUGGAAGAGGCACAAGAGGAGGAUGGAGAAGUCUUUUUCAAUAUGUAGCUUUAAAUCAUUUUUUUUUAAAUCAGAAAGCUUUUGUUGAAUUAUAGUUUUUAGUAUUUGUUAUAAUCUCUGAUUUUUUUUAAACCCUGGGACUCUCAUUACAUAUAUGUUGGCUCCUCUUUAUUUUCAAGAGGAGGUAUCUUCAAUAUUGGCUAUUUUCUCUCAAAUCCUUUUUUAUCUUUUUUUUUAUUUGCAAAUCUUCUUUCUUUUCACCUUAAGGCAUCAUGUGUUGUGUUUAUUCUACUUGUCUUUCUUUUAAUUUGGUUUUCAUUUAUGAAACGAUCUUUUAUUUCUAAUUAUUUUCUGAAUUUUGUCACCCAUGCUGUUUUUCUAACUGCACCCAGCCUCUGCUGCUCAUUUUUAUCUGAGAUUUGUUUCUCUGAACUUUUAGAAGGCAGUAUAGUUCAGAUGAGGUUUUCCAACCUCACAGAGUUCUUUCUUCUGUUUUUGUGUACUGUUCAAACAAAUGGCAGCUUACCUUCUGGGAUUUCCUGGCUGUAUAAUAAUGCAGAAGUACAUAGGAAGCUCCUUCCCUUAGCAUUUAUGAGCCCGUGGAUCCAAUGGUGUUCCAUAAAUGAGUGGCAAUUGCUGUAGUCCUGACUACUUGGGAGGCUGAGGUGAGAGGACCAUUGGAGCCCAGAAAUUUGAGUCCAGUCUGGAUAACACAGUGAGAUACCAC
rnacentral:lncRNA from 1 species